CCUACGGGAGGCAGCAGUGGGGAAUAUUGGGCAAUGGGCGCAAGCCUGACCCAGCAACGCCGCGUGAAGGAAGAAGGCUUUCGGGUUGUAAACUUCUUUUCUCAGGGACGAAGCAAGUGACGGUACCUGAGGAAUAAGCCACGGCUAACUACGUGCCAGCAGCCGCGGUAAUACGUAGGUGGCAAGCGUUAUCCGGAUUUACUGGGUGUAAAGGGCGUGUAGGCGGGGAAGCAAGUCAGAUGUGAAAACCACGGGCUCAACCUGUGGCCUGCAUUUGAAACUGUUUUUCUUGAGUGCUGGAGAGGCAAUCGGAAUUCCGUGUGUAGCGGUGAAAUGCGUAGAUAUACGGAGGAACACCAGUGGCGAAGGCGGAUUGCUGGACAGUAACUGACGCUGAGGCGCGAAAGCGUGGGGAGCAAACAGGAUUAGAUACCCUAGUAGUC
rnacentral:rRNA from 1 species